CAGGCUCCCAGGCAGGAAAAGCCAUCCCCAGAGGCAGUGGGGUACUUGGGUUGAUUUUCAGGAUAGAUGAAGAAACUCCUGCCAGAAAUCACCCUGUGUUGUAGAAAUAAAGCCAUCCAACCAAGACAUCUCCUGGAUGCUUAUUCCUAUAGAAAAUGGGUUCAUGUACAGAAGUCAAAGGGAUGUAGGACUCUGCUGGCCUGGCAACGGGAGGGAGGCACGGGUUCAUCUGCUGCACCUGAGCGUGGGGCACCAGAAAUGCCUGCGGCUGCCAGGGGCUGGAGCUGUGCUAGGCGCCGUGAUUUAUACAUCUGGUUGUGGAUGUCACCCAUUUGUCCUUCCUGUAUGACCCCCACAAGCACAGUUAUCUCCCAGUAAUUAGGUCCGUGGGGCAGAAAUAGAUGUGCUAUCCUGUGGGGUCACAACGCGCAGCUCUUGCCACACCUGGAGCUGGCCCUGAUGCAGCUGGGAGCUGCCGGCACUUUUUGACGGCUGCAUCCAGCACCGUGCCUGUGCAGGUGCUUUGUUCGAAGCACAGAGAGCAUCCCAUCGACUCAAUACAGAGCUGAUAAACACUUGUGCAGUAAAGUGCGUCACAGUGCUGGCUCUAGCAACAAGAAUCUCACUCCUGCCUCCGGAGAGGCAUGAAAAUUGUAAUCAGAUGAACUGGCUGUAGUGCAGCAGUGCCGUUUGCAUGUGUAUGAUGUUGUUUAACUUUAGCUGUAGUGUGCUCAUUUUUGGAAACAGAGUAAAUGUACUAGCAGCAGCUAUUUGACCUUCUCCUGAAAUCCAGUGAAA